rnacentral:snRNA from 1 species
UUGCGAUGGUCCCUGCGGAUG